UGGGGAAUAUUGCACAAUGGGCGCAAGCCUGAUGCAGCCAUGCCGCGUGUGUGAAGAAGGCCUUCGGGUUGUAAAGCACUUUCAGCGGGGAGGAAGGCGUUAAGGUUAAUAACCUUGGCGAUUGACGUUACCCGUAGAAGAAGCACCGGCUAACUCCGUGCCAGCAGCCGCGGUAAUACGGAGGGUGCAAGCGUUAAUCGGAAUUACUGGGCGUAAAGCGCACGCAGGCGGUCUGUCAAGUCGGAUGUGAAAUCCCCGGGCUCAACCUGGGAACUGCAUUCGAAACUGGCAGGCUAGAGUCUUGUAGAGGGGGGUAGAAUUCCAGGUGUAGCGGUGAAAUGCGUAGAGAUCUGGAGGAAUACCGGUGGCGAAGGCGGCCCCCUGGACAAAGACUGACGCUCAGGUGCGAAAGCGUGGGGAGCAAACAGG
rnacentral:rRNA from 1 species